rnacentral:rRNA from 1 species
GACGAACGCUGGCGGCGUGCUUAACACAUGCAAGUCGAACGUGAUUUUUAAGGAAAGCCCUUCGGGGUGGGAAUUAAAAUGAAAGUGGCGAACGGGUGAGUAACACGUGAGCAACCUACCUUACACAGGGGGAUAGCCGUUGGAAACGACGAUUAAUACCGCAUGAGACCACAGAAUCGCAUGAUAUAGGGGUCAAAGAUUUAUCGGUGUAAGAAGGGCUCGCGUCUGAUUAGCUAGUUGGAAGGGUAAAGGCCUACCAAGGCGACGAUCAGUAGCCGGUCUGAGAGGAUGAACGGCCACAUUGGAACUGAGACACGGUCCAAACUCCUACGGGAGGCAGCAGUGGGGAAUAUUGCACAAUGGGGGGAACCCUGAUGCAGCGACGCCGCGUGAGCGAAGAAGGUUUUCGAAUCGUAAAGCUCUGUCCUAUGAGAAGAUAA